UGUAUAAUCACCUGAAAAUAAGAAUCUGUGUUUUUUUUCUUUAUGUUAGAAUGAGUCAUUUAUAUCUACAUACUGAGCAGGUCUUCCUUUAUAGAGUCUGCCAUAUUUCUGCAGUAACCCAGAACAGACAAGUUUCCAACCCAAGUCCCUAUGGACUGAGCUACUGCCGCCCCUUUUCUUUUUAUCAGAAAAAAAAGGUCCAUUCGUUUUAGAGAAGAGAAGGCAUCUGCGGAUAAUUUGGCUCAUAGUGAAAACCCACUGAACGUCUCAAUCAGAAAUAAGGGCCGGGUCGAAGAGGCAGCAGGCCAAGCAAAGCACCCCAGACAUUCCUCUCCCCAGCAAUGCUUUCCAGCUCCUCCUGAGGGACCCCAACGUGUUCUCAGGCCAGAUGAGAUAUGUAAUCCCUCCAGCCUGUUCUGGGUCUGCCCCAGGGCCUCCUACCAGUGGGACAUGCCUGGAACACUUCUAACAGGAGGCGCCCCGAAGGCAUCCCGAUCAGAUGCCGGAACCACCUCAACUGACCCCUUUUGAUGCAAAGGAGCAGCAGCUGUACUCCGAGAAUUGUCACCUUAACGGGGUGGAGGGGUUUGUGUGUCCAUGAGAACCUGGGAGCUGUGUU